GCCCAGACUCCUACGGGAGGCAGCAGUGGGGAAUAUUGCACAAUGGGGGAAACCCUGAUGCAGCGACGCCGCGUGAGCGAUGAAGUAUUUCGGUAUGUAAAGCUCUAUCAGCAGGGAAGAAAAUGACGGUACCUGACUAAGAAGCCCCGGCUAACUACGUGCCAGCAGCCGCGGUAAUACGUAGGGGGCAAGCGUUAUCCGGAUUUACUGGGUGUAAAGGGAGCGUAGACGGCUGUGCAAGCCAGAUGUGAAAGCCCGGGGCUCAACCCCGGGACUGCAUUUGGAACUGUGUGGCUGGAGUGUCGGAGAGGCAGGCGGAAUUCCUAGUGUAGUGGUGAAAUGCGUAGAUAUUAGGAGGAACACCAGUGGCGAAGGCGGCCUGCUGGACGAUGACUGACGUUGAGGCUCGAAAGCGUGGGGAGCAAACAGGAUUAGAUACCCCUGUA
rnacentral:rRNA from 1 species